UGUCGAAAUUUUCCUCGGCAGUUAACUGCAGUUGAUUUUUAAAUUCUUCGGCAAUUAAUUGCCGCAUGGACAU
rnacentral:pre_miRNA from 1 species